rnacentral:tRNA from 1 species
AUCAUUUUGGCAGAUUUUUAAUGCAAAAGACUUAGAAUCUUAUAAACUCAUUA